rnacentral:tRNA from 1 species
GGGGUUAUAGUGUAACCUGGCAUCAUCUGGGACUCCAGUUGUCUUUGAAGAAAAUUAACGCGUAGUCUGACAGUAUUAAUUGAUACAGAAUGAUGAUCAAUUGGAGUACUGAGACAAGAGAAAUCCUAGGAUCGGGGUUCAAAUCCCUGUGACCCCA